GACGAACGCUGGCGGCGUGCUUAACACAUGCAAGUCGAACGGAAAGGCCCUGCACUUGUGGGGUGCUCGUGUGCCGAACGGGUGUGUAUCACGCGAGUAACCUGUCCCUGUCUUUGGGAUAACACCAGGAAACUGGGGCUAAAACCCGCUAGAAGAUCCUGAACCAUGGUGGGGGUUGGAAAAUUUCGGCGGUUGGGGCUCGACUCGCGGCUUAUGAGCUAGUUGGUGAGGUAGUGGCUUACCAAGGGUUUGAAGGAUAGCCUGCCUGGGAGGGUGAACGGGCACAAUGGGACUGAGAUACGGCCCAGACGGCAACGGGAGGCAGCAGGGGGAAAUAUUGCACAAUGGGCCGAAGCCUGAUACAACAAUGUCGCGUGCGGAAAGACGGCCUUCGGGGUAUAAACCGCUUUCGCCUGUGACGAAGCGUGAGUGACGGUAAUGGGUAAAAAAGCACCGGCUAACUACGUG
rnacentral:rRNA from 1 species